CUAUACUGCAGUCGAGCGAUGGAUUAAGAGCUUGCUCUUAUGAAGUUAGCGGCGGACGGGUGAGUAACACGUGGGUAACCUGCCCAUAAGACUGGGAUAACUCCGGGAAACCGGGGCUAAUACCGGAUAACAUUUUGAACCGCAUGGUUCGAAAUUGAAAGGCGGCUUCGGCUGUCACUUAUGGAUGGACCCGCGUCGCAUUAGCUAGUUGGUGAGGUAACGGCUCACCAAGGCAACGAUGCGUAGCCGACCUGAGAGGGUGAUCGGCCACACUGGGACUGAGACACGGCCCAGACUCCUACGGGAGGCAGCAGUAGGGAAUCUUCCGCAAUGGACGAAAGUCUGACGGAGCAACGCCGCGUGAGUGAUGAAGGCUUUCGGGUCGUAAAACUCUGUUGUUAGGGAAGAACAAGUGCUAGUUGAAUAAGCUGGCACCUUGACGGUACCUAACCAGAAAGCCACGGCUAACUACGUGCCAGCAGCCGCGGUAAUACGUAGGUGGCAAGCGUUAUCCGGAAUUAUUGGGCGUAAAGCGCGCGCAGGUGGUUUCUUAAGUCUGAUGUGAAAGCCCACGGCUCAACCGUGGAGGGUCAUUGGAAACUGGGAGACUUGAGUGCAGAAGAGGAAAGUGGAAUUCCAUGUGUAGCGGUGAAAUGCGUAGAGAUAUGGAGGAACACCAGUGGCGAAGGCGACUUUCUGGUCUGUAACUGACACUGAGGCGCGAAAGCGUGGGGAGCAAACAGGAUUAGAACCCUGGUAGUCCACGCCGUAAACGAUGAGUGCUAAGUGUUAGAGGGUUUCCGCCCUUUAGUGCUGAAGUUAACGCAUUAAGCACUCCGCCUGGGGAGUACGGCCGCAAGGCUGAAACUCAAGGAUUGACGGGGGCCCGCACAAGCGGUGGAGCAUGUGUUAAUUCGAACAACGCAAACCUUACCGGUCUUGACAUCCUCUGAAACCCUAGAGAUAGGGCUUCCUUCGGGACAGACGGUGGGCAUGGCGUCUCGGUCGGAGAUCCACACCGAUCUCAUAUGGCUCUAGGAUGCG
rnacentral:rRNA from 1 species